rnacentral:lncRNA from 1 species
CUUCCAUAUAGAUAUGAUAAAACCCCAAAAUGGAUAUUCUGCUUUCAAUGUUGCUAAAUUAAUAGGAAGAUUUCAAAGAUAUAUGUCAGAUUGUGAAGAAAAAGUGGAAAAAAAGAAGCAUGUGUAUCGGAGAUACUGAACAGAGAAUAGAGUGGGUGGAGUAAGCCUACUUUCUUCAAAAGAAGCAAUUUUACAUGGUGUGUAAAACCGACCUUGGACAAGAAAUGGAACACAAAGAUAAAUCAUUUGUGGUGAAUUUAAACAUGAAUCCGUGGAGCUCCUCCUUUUCUGAAAUCCUCCAUUUCUUUUAAAACAUUCUGGUAAUAAAUUGCUGUGAGUUUUUGCCAUAUCCUAUGUCCUUACUCACUGGGAACAAUUGAUGCUUGGAACCCAUUCAACGAUGGUUACAUAGAUUUGUGAAAACAGGAGCCGGCUCAGCUUUCCUUUAAGAGUUGUUUAGUGAAGUUAUGCUCAUUGACUUUUUACUCUUAUUAUUAAAAUUCCUCAUUAAACCUGCCUGAAAACUAAAUGUGAUUCCUUUUACCUGAUGUGGCAAAAUCACCCUCACCCCUUCCAGAACCAUUUU